UUUUGUGUGAACUCAACUUCUGUCAACACUUUCUCCUCAGUUUCUUGUUACCCUGUUGGAAAGUCCCAGAAGCAAGAUCAAGUCUCUCUGCAGAGGAGACUUGGAGAGCUGUCAUCAAAUGACGUCUCCAUUGUGCAUGCCCUGGCCUUGCUCCGAUCCAUAGGGUCUGACGCAAAACAUGCCAGAGAAGUUAAGGCCUGAAACAUACUUUUAGAACUGCAUGGGGUGCAUGUUGGUCAACAUAAAUGGCAAUUUGGCCUAGACCGUGUAGAACAGACAGGUAUUCUACAGCAACACGCCUCUCCAAACCAUGGUAGCACUCCUGCAAAUGAUGACCUGUAAUCUGAGGCGCAUGUCGUCUGACAAUGAGUACUCUACUGAUGCUGCAACUGGGCCGUCUGAUGACGUUGGUGCUGAAGCUACAUGUUAGUACAAUUGUAAACCUACAUCUUAUCAACAUAAUUAUCAUGGUUUGGGCCUGCUUUUCUUCAGCAGGGACAGGGAAGAUGGUUAAAAUUGAUGGGAAGAUGGAUGGAGCCAAAUACAGGACCAUUCUGGAAGAAAACCUGAUGGAGUCUGCAAAAGACCUGAGACUGGGACGGAGAUUUGUCUUCCAACAAGACAAUGAUCCAAAACAUAAAGCAAAAUCUACAAUGGAAUGGUUCAAAAAUAAACAUAUCCAGGUGUUAGAAUGGCCAAGUCAAAGUCCAGACCUGAUUCCAAUCGAGAAUUUGUGGAAAGAACUGAAAACUGCUGUUCACAAAUACUCUCCAUCCAACCUCACUGAGCUCGAGCUGUUUUGCAAGGAGGAAUGGGAAAAAAUGUCAGUCUCUCGAUGUGCAAAACUGAUAGAGACAUACCCUAAGCGACUUACAGCUGUAAUCGCAGCAAAAGGUGGCGCUACAAAUUAUUAACUUAAGGGGCCGAAUCAUUUUGCACGCCCAAUUUUUCAGUUUUUAAUUUGUUAAAAAGUUUGAAAUAUCCAAUAAAUGUCGUUCCACUUCAUGAUUGUGUCCCACUUGUUCUUGAUUCUUCACAAAAAAAUGCAGUUUUAUAUCUUUAUGUUUGAAGCCUGAAAUGUGGCAAAAGGUCGCAAAGUUCAAGGGGGCCGAAUACUUUCGCAAGGCACUGUAAAUCCUAAUAUAUCAUGUUUUCCUCAUUUGCUCUGUAGGAGGUUCGUCAUAUGAAGGACAUUCAAGUGGAUGUGACCCCUAACCUGCAAUAGGGGCAGGUGACAGACAUCCUGUAAUGGAUCUCCAGCUAGUGUCUGAGGACCAGGAGAAGGCUGUGUCUACAGCUGUGGGGCAGGACAAGCAUGAUUGCAAGUGAAACACCUUUAGAUGUGCUAAUGGAAACCUCAGGGACAGACAUCCUGAACGACUCUGAUGUCAGAGCUCCCAUCAGCCCUCUACACCUUGCUGAACCUCCGAUGUUGAUGCUGGGUGGGAGCAAAAAUGGGCUCCUGAUUGAAAGACUCUGGUCUACUUUAGAGGUCUAGCACUGUAUUUCUGUUCAGGCGUACCACUGGUCUACUCUAGGACAUUGAUUAUAUUAAGAGUGAAUAUCUGGACUGCCUUAAAAAGCCAUGUGGAGUGUGUUGACGUCCUCAUCAACCAGGGAGCCUCCAUCCUGGUUAAAGACUUCACUCUGAAGAGGACACCCAUCCACGCUGCAGAACCCCUCUGAUGCUGUCGGUGCUGAGCGGACACACAGACUGUGUGUACUCACUGCUCAACAAGGGAGCCAGCGUAGAAGCCAAAGACAAGUGGGGCAGAACAGCUCUACACAGAGGGGCGCUGACGGGUCACGAGGAGUGAAGCACAGCGCCAGCUUCCUGGUUCAGGAAGGUAAGGGGCGGAGCCAUGUCCACCUGGUGGCGGCGUCCGGACACAUUGGGGUGCUGGGGUGGCUCCUACACACCGCCCAGUCAGUGUGGACCCUCCCCGUCAUCACAAACAACCAGGGCUACACGCCACUACACUGGGCCUGCUACAACGCCAGCUUCGGGAGGGCACGAACCAAGCCAUCCGCACAGGAACCUUAAGAGUCCCUCAGACAGCGAGAGAUAAGAGGGAGGGAUAGGGGGAGGCACAACAGGCCCACACUCAUCCUCUCCUACCACCAGGUUCCCUUCCAGCAGAUACUGGACUUCAGAGGAACUGCUGCUGCUAUACCCCAUCUUUACCUUUACCCACAAAGGUCCUAAACGGUAGAAAGUGUCCGGCCAACAGACAGACGCACACCUUAUGACGGCAAUAACCUGUAGUCCAAGGGGAUAGUAGCACUUCACUGAGAGCAAAACAGACAGGGACCAAAAGAUGUGGAAGAAGCAUUUUCAAAACCUGUUUUGACUGUAGAAAUUGGGUGUUUGUGUUGAGAAAAGACAUAAGGAGUGAUGUUUCAUUUAAGUUUCAUGAGAGUGAUUGUCAUGUUUAUCCGCACACUAAGACAGUCAGAACACACCUAGCCUCUUGUCUGUAAUCCAUGUGGGAGGAGGGGAAAUCAUACAUUUUGUAUGAACAAAUAUUUUAAUAAAAUCAUUCAUGUCUUAAGCUCUGUGGGAAUAAAAAAAUGGUAGCAUUUGCUCUGAUGAGUAAUUGUAAAGAUUUAAUGCAUCCCAAAAGGAACCCUAUACUGAAUAGUAAGUACACUACUGUUGAACAGGGUCCAUAGGGUUCUGGUCAAAAGCAGUGCCAUUUAGGAUACUGGUAUGUGAGCAACAGGACUUUUUGAAGGGACAUAUUACAUUUGCGUUAUUAAACCUACCUGUCCUUUGGCCUCUAGAAAGUAUUUUAGAAAGUAAAUUAUUCAUUCAUGUAUUCUUUCUUGUGAUAUAUAACUUAUUCAAAAAAUGAAACCUCUCAAUCAUUGUAUGUGAUUGAAUGUUCAUAUCCCCGUUUUUGUCUCUUUUUGAAAAUCAUUUUAACUGGAAAUAUGUGCAAUAAAUUUGCUAUGUUCACCAAAUCAGCAACAAGAGAUUCACAGGUUCACAGGUUUUUCGUGUCAUUAUCAUUCUUUUAAACGGAUGAAACUAGCAUGUACAUAUGAAAUGGUGACUGAAUUCGAAACUCCCAUGAAUUCUUUCAGUAUCUGAAGUUUGCUGUAU